rnacentral:rRNA from 1 species
UACGGGGGGAGCAAGCGUUGUUCGGAUUUACUGGGCGUAAAGCGCACGUAGGCGGACUAUUAAGUCAGGGGUGAAAUCCCGGGGCUCAACCCCGGAACUGCCUUUGAUACUGGUAGUCUCGAGUCCGGAAGAGGUGAGUGGAAUUCCGAGUGUAGAGGUGAAAUUCGUAGAUAUUCGGAGGAACACCAGUGGCGAAGGCGGCUCACUGGUCCGGUACUGACGCUGAGGUGCGAAAGCGUGGGGAGCAAACAGG